rnacentral:rRNA from 1 species
GAUGAACGCUGGCGGCGUGCCUAAUACAUGCAAGUCGAGCGAACAGACGAGGAGCUUGCUCCUCUGACGUUAGCGGCGGACGGGUGAGUAACACGUGGAUAACCUACCUAUAAGACUGGGAUAACUUCGGGAAACCGGAGCUAAUACCGGAUAAUAUAUUUAACCGCAUGGUUCAAUAGUGAAAGACGGUUUUGCUGUCACUUAUAGAUGGAUCCGCGCCGCAUUAUCUAGUUGGUAAGGUAACGGCUUACCAAGGCAACGAUGCGUAGCCGACCUGAGAGGGUGAUCGGCCACACUGGAACUGAGACACGGACCAGACACCUACGGGAGGCAGCAGGAGGGAAUCUUCCGCAAUGGGCGAAAGCCUGACGGAGCAACGCCGCGUGAGUGAUGAAGGUCUUCGGAUCGUAAAACUCUGUUAUUAGGGAAGAACAAAUGUGUAAGUAACUAUGCACGUCUUGACGGUACCUAAGCAGAAAGCCACGGCUAACUACGU